ACGGGUGAGUAACGCGUGGGAAUCUACCCAGAUCUUCGGAACAACUGAGGGAAACUUCAGCUAAUACCGGAUACGCCCUACGGGGGAAAGAUUUAUCGGUUCUGGAUGAGCCCGCGUUGGAUUAGCUAGUUGGUGAGGUAAUGGCUCACCAAGGCGACGAUCCAUAGCUGGUCUGAGAGGAUGAUCAGCCACACUGGGACUGAGACACGGCCCAGACUCCUACGGGAGGCAGCAGUGGGGAAUAUUGGACAAUGGGCGAAAGCCUGAUCCAGCCAUGCCGCGUGAGUGAUGAAGGCCUUAGGGUUGUAAAGCUCUUUCAGUAGGGAAGAUAAUGGCGGUACCUACAGAAGAAGCCCCGGCUAACUUCGUGCCAGCAGCCGCGGUAAUACGAAGGGGGCUAGCGUUGUUCGGAUUUACUGGGCGUAAAGCGCACGUAGGCGGAUCGUUAAGUCGGGGGUGAAAUCCUGGAGCUCAACUCCAGAACUGCCUUCGAUACUGGCGAUCUUGAGUCCGGAAGAGGUGAGUGGAACUCCUAGUGUAGAGGUGGAAUUCGUAGA
rnacentral:rRNA from 1 species